CACGGUAGUUUCCGGUCUGGGGGGUGAACUCCUGGAGUUCCGGCGGACCUUGAGCAGCGUUGUUCCGGAAGGGCGGGGGUCGCAUCCGCUCGCCUGCGAUCCGCGUGGCAUUACGCGGAGGGUCCGGCGCUAGACGCCAGCGGUCUCAGGAGGAGGCCCCCAGCGGGUUUCAGUGCCGGUGGAGUCUCGCGGCGUCGGCGGGUUCCCAACCGCCGAGGAUUCCGGACACUUCUCUAAGCAAAGAUAAGGUGGCUGCAGAGAGAACGAGAAGCAGCUUGGCUGUUCUCUAAGACAGGAACCUGGAAAGAGGACUGUGUUGGCUAUUGGAAAUUGCAAAGUCAUGUACCAGGUGAGUCGGUUCCCAAAUCUUCCUGAAACCCUUUUUUUUGUAUCCAGACUCUGUGGAGUCUGUGCUUUGCUUCUCCAGAGAGUUCCCACCUAAAAAGGGAAUUUACAGACUGGAUCUACAAUUGCUUUUAUGACAACAGUGGGUGGGGGCCACAGGAGAGUUCCAAGUGCUGUCCUACUCUCUGAGU
rnacentral:lncRNA from 1 species